CGAUACCACUGCACUAGUGAGCCUCCCGGCAUCGACUCUUCUCUGAUGUUUCAUCGAGAAGCUAAGGAUCAGAGGAGCGGAGUUCGGAGAAAUUUGUUUGCGUGAAAGCCUGCUGCCCACAUUGAUGGAGUUUCGGGACUGACCGUCUGCAGAGUACGCCCCAGCCGGGAAAAGGCGCAGCUCACAGGCUGACAGUACCUGCUGCCGGCAAGGAAACCGGCAUGGUUCCUGAUUUAAGAAGUAGACCCUGCAGCCCCAGUCGUAACGCACAGUGGAAUGCUGAUAAUGGUAGCUAUUAGUUGGGUGGAACGCGCGGAACCGCAACGGAGAGAGUAGUUGCGUGCCUUACGUGUCCGUUGUUUGUUUUGGUGCACCUGAGUUAAGUAUUGUGUUGCCUCCUCCCUUUCGCCCCGUAGUGUUCUUCUCAUAAACAUUUCCUUCAAGGCAUUUUAGUUAAUUUUAUGCUAGUAUUAUUUUAAUUUCUUACAUUGGUAAAAUUGUGUGGCCUUCAUUACGCACACUGUCAUAGCGAAGUUGAUGUGCCAUUGUGAUUUCUUAAACUCCAUUGUGUGUGCCCUUCGUGAUACAUAU